AUAAUCAAAGGAGCAAUCCGCUUUGAGAUGGACCCGCGGCGCAUUAGCUAGUUGGUGAGGUAACGGCUCACCAAGGCAACGAUGCGUAGCCGACCUGAGAGGGUGAUCGGCCACAUUGGAACUGAGAUACGGUCCAGACUCCUACGGGAGGCAGCAGUGGGGAAUAUUGCGCAAUGGGGGAAACCCUGACGCAGCAACGCCGCGUGAGUGAUGAAGGUUUUCGGAUCGUAAAACUCUGUCUUUAGGGACGAUAAUGACGGUACCUAAGGAGGAAGCCACGGCUAACUACGUGCCAGCAGCCGCGGUAAUACGUAGGUGGCAAGCGUUGUCCGGAUUUACUGGGCGUAAAGAGUAUGUAGGUGGGUGCUUAAGUCAGAUGUGAAAUUCCCGGGCUCAACCUGGGAGCUGCAUUUGAAACUGGGCAUCUAGAGUGCAGGAGAGGAAAGUGGAAUUCCUAGUGUAGCGGUGAAAUGCGUAGAGAUUAGGAAGAACACCAGUGGCGAAGGCGACUUUCUGGACUGUAACUGACACUGAGAUACGAAAGCGUGGGUAGCAAACAGGAUUAGAU
rnacentral:rRNA from 1 species